rnacentral:rRNA from 1 species
GACGAACGCUGGCGGCGUGCCUAAUACAUGCAAGUUGAGCGAUGAAGAUUGGUGCUUGCACCAAUUUGAAGAGCAGCGAACGGGUGAGUAACGCGUGGGGAAUCUGCCUUUGAGCGGGGGACAACAUUUGGAAACGAAUGCUAAUACCGCAUAACAACUUUAAACAUAAGUUUUAAGUUUGAAAGAUGCAAUUGCAUCACUCAAAGAUGAUCCCGCGUUGUAUUAGCUAGUUGGUGAGGUAAAGGCUCACCAAAGCGAUGAUACAUAGCCGACCUGAGAGGGUGAUCGGCCACAUUGGGACUGAGACACGGCCCAAACUCCUACGGGAGGCAGCAGUAGGGAAUCUUCGGCAAUGGACGAAAGUCUGACCGAGCAACGCCGCGUGAGUGAAGAAGGUUUUCGGAUCGUAAAACUCUGUUGGUAGAGAAGAACGUUGGUGAGAGUGGAAAGCUCAUCAAGUGACGGUAACUACCCAGAAAGGGACGGCUAACUACGUG